CCUACGGGGUGCAGCAGUGAGGAAUAUUGGUCAAUGGCCGGAAGGCUGAACCAGCCAAGCCGCGUGAGGGAGGAAGGCGCAGAGCGUCGCAGACCUCUUUUGCCGGGGGACAAAAGGCCGGACUCGUCCGGUCCUGAGGGUACCCGGAGAACAAGCAUCGGCUAACCCCGUGCCAGCCGCCGCGGUAUUACGGGGGAUGCGAGCGUUAUCCGGAUUCAUUGGGUUUAAAGGGUGCGCAGGAGGGCCUUUAAGCCGGCGGUGAAAUCGCGGGGCUCAGCCUCGCCGAGCCGUCGGAACUGGGGGCCUUGAGUGCGGCGGAGGCAGGCGGAAUGCGCGGUGUAGCGGUGAAAUGCAUAGAUAUCGGGCAGAACCCCGAUUGCGAAGGCAGCAUACCGGCGCCCAACUGACGCUGAAGCACUAAAGCGUGGGUAUCGAACAGGAUUAGAUACCCGAGUAGUC
rnacentral:rRNA from 1 species